GCGGUCUCAGAUGUCUCAGGUACCUGGGUCGGAGUCCUUUCUGUUGUUAUCUACUGGAUUCCCUUGAUUCAAGGCCUAGGGAGUUCCUGCCCUACACUGGCCCUCGCGAAAAUAUUUGUCUUUGAGGACGUCUGGGGCUGCGACCGCGGAAUAGAAAAAAAUAGUAGGUGAGCUGCUGCCAAAAAGGAGCGACUAGAAAGGUUUUGUACUUGCUUCUGUAGAAGGGGAAUUUCUCUUUUGUGCUAAUGAUGUGGAAAGAAAAAACAAAAAGACUGUAAAAUAGCGAUGCCCUAAACAUAAUGGAGAAAAGCGGGAGAAACCAAGCUUUAGGACUGAAAGGGGUGGUGCCAGUCUCGUUUCCUAGGUUACUGCUUUCACGAACCGAAAGAAUUUCAGAAUGUGGCGAGCUCCAAUUUUUAAACGCACUGCUGCUUUUGCCUCAGCUGGGCUUCCAAACAGAAAGUCCAGAAGCUGCCCUCGAUGAAUCGUAACUAAUGCACUGUUACUGCCAGCGAACACAUUCCGGGUUAGAAAUAAUAGCUCUAACAAAUUGUUUUGCGCGCCUAGUCUCAUAUUAUCUUCUCAACAACGCAAUUUUACAGAUGAAGAAUCCAAGACACAUAGAUGUUUGGGAACUUUCUCUUAUCUGGUUUUAAAUAGGCUUGAAUCCAGAUCAUUGAACUCUAAACACCAGUGCUGUCUGCAUAUAGCAGAUUGUUUAUAUGUUAAGUGUGAAUUUCAGUAGUGCAAAAAAAAAAACAAAACCUGCCUCUUUUUUUUUUUUGCAUAAUUAUUUUGUCCGUGCAUAGAGAAAUAAAAAGGUACUGGCUCUAACCUGUUUAAGGAGAGGAUGGGGUUGCCUUAUUUUUCAGACCUCAGGUUGAAGAACUUCCAUGAGUAUAAAACCUCAAGAAGGAAAAACCUUGGUAUUUUUUAUUCGAAUCAGAGUGAUAUGAUUUUGAGGCAGGAAGACUUGUCAUCUUAAUUAUUCUGUGCUUCCUAUCCUCAAAAAUUAUUUCCCUAAGUCCCGUAGUAGCGUAGAAUUAUUGCAUCUUCAAAGAACAAUGAUUACUCUCUCAGAUGCAGUACAGAAAACCACCACCAAAAUUAUUAAUACUUGGUUCACAUCAGAAGUGAGCUCUGGCUUCAUAAGAUCUAACAAAUCCUCUCCACUCUCAGAUGACAAGCCGACUUUGGCAAAAGGAAGCAAAGCAAAAAUGAGAAAUCAUUAACUAUAAAGAGCCUUUCCAUCUCUGCUUUCCUCAACUCAUAUUGGCCUUGCUCUGCUCAACCAGCAAUCGAAAAUUAUUCUAGGCCGGGCGCGGUGGCUCACCCCUGUAGCCUCA
rnacentral:lncRNA from 1 species